UCUCAGGGCGGGGUGAAAGUCCCCACCGGCGGUAACAUGCAUCGCGCAUGAAGCCCGCGAGCGCUUUAUUAUUUAUUCGCGUAGAUAAUAAAGGUCAGCAGAUCCAGUGUGAAUCUGGAGCCGACGGUCAUAGUCCGGAUGGGAGAGAAU
rnacentral:ncRNA from 1 species